GCUGUACAGUGAUGAGACUUUGGCUCCCUCUACUGAUGCUUGUGAGGAAAGCAGCCAUACGUUACCCAAUACCUCUGAGAGUACAGC
rfam:Colinus virginianus strain Texas jcf7180006226816, whole genome shotgun sequence.